UGGGGAAUAUUGCACAAUGGGCGCAAGCCUGAUGCAGCCAUGCCGCGUGUAUGAAGAAGGCCUUCGGGUUGUAAAGUACUUUCAGCGGGGAGGAAGGCGAUAAGGUUAAUAACCUUGUCGAUUGACGUUACCCGCAGAAGAAGCACCGGCUAACUCCGUGCCAGCAGCCGCGGUAAUACGGAGGGUGCAAGCGUUAAUCGGAAUUACUGGGCGUAAAGCGCACGCAGGCGGUGUGUCAAGUCGGAUGUGAAAUCCCCGGGCUCAACCUGGGAACUGCAUUCGAAACUGGCAGGCUAGAGUCUUGUAGAGGGGGGUAGAAUUCCAGGUGUAGCGGUGAAAUGCGUAGAGAUCUGGAGGAAUACCGGUGGCGAAGGCGGCCCCCUGGACAAAGACUGACGCUCAGGUGCGAAAGCGUGGGGAACAAACA
rnacentral:rRNA from 1 species